AUUGAACGCUGGCGGCAGGCUUAACACAUGCAAGUCGAGCGGAGAUGAGGUGCUUGCACCUUAUCUUAGCGGCGGACGGGUGAGUAAUGCUUAGGAAUCUGCCUAUUAGUGGGGGACAACAUUCCGAAAGGAAUGCUAAUACCGCAUACGCCGUACGGGGGAAAGCAGGGGAUCUUCGGACCUUGCGCUAAUAGAUGAGCCUAAGUCGGAUUGGCUAGUUGGUGGGGUAAAGGCCUACCAAGGCGACGAUCUGUAGCGGGUCUGAGAGAAUGAUCCGCCACACUGGGACUGAGACACGGCCCAGACUCCUACGGGAGGCAGCAGUGGGGAAUAUUGGACAAUGGGCGGAAGCCUGAUCCAGCCAUGCCGCGUGUGUGAAGAAGGCCUUUUGGUUGUAAAGCACUUUAAGCGAGGAGGAGGCUACCUGGAUUAAUACUCUUGGAUAGUGGACGUUACUCGCAGAAUAAGCACCGGCUAACUCUGUGCCAGCCGCCGCUGUAAUAC
rnacentral:rRNA from 1 species